CGCAGGAUUGUAGUUCCGUUGUAGAGAAAGUAAAGAAGAAACGAUAGUGGAAAUUUGACACACUGUAAAAAGUUACGUUGUGGUGUAAAUUAUAAUUUUUAUUAUAUAGGGAAAGUACUUAUUUUAAUUUUUGCAAGAUUUGAUAUUUUUUUAAUCUUUGGAUAUAAUAUUCUUUACUAUUUUACAGCAUAUGGCCGAACUUGUUAUUGUUGUUAACAUCCUUAGUAGACACCGCGUCUAGACUUCAAAGAUGGAAUGAAUUUGCAGUAAUUCCUCUACAGUAUUCUUAUUUCCAUCCUUUUAUUGUAGCAUUUUACCUCCUAGUGAUCUGGCCGAAGACCAUAAGACACUAUCAUGUGUAAAAUCCCAACUUUAUCCAACUUGUGGUUGUACAUGUGUGAACAGAGGAGAGUGAAUACCUGACUGGGAUUUGAACCUAGGACAGUGGACCUGUGAGGAACCAUGCUAACCAUUUUGAAACUGUUGCUCCCUUGUUGAUGUGAAUAUAUCAAAAUGAACUUGACAUUAAUUAGAUUGAAGAUGUGAAAUGCUGACCUGCAAGAAACAAGUUGCAAAAGGGGACUUAGAAGUUUUUGCUGAUAUAUCAUUCUGAAACACAGUAAGCAGAAGGAAUCACUAUAUAACAGCUAAUUACAUUUUCUGUCAUAUAACAAAUAUUAAACAAAUAUUAUAACUAUAACAACCAUACUCCAAUUAUCAAGCACCUCCUUGGACUAAAGCCCUUUGACAGGCAAAGUGAAUUAAGACACAUAAGUCUUGAAUGUUGAAGAACUGGGUUGGGCGGGGGGAAGGGGUUAAAGGCAUCAAUAAAGUUGAUCUAACUGACUUCCUCCAAUCAAAUGGUAAAACAUUUUCUCAUUGACAUCUUCGAAAAUUAAGAAAAACUGCAUUCAAAAGGGAAGCUACACAAACAAACUGCUGAAUUAUGUAGUUGGACUAGGUGCCUUGACAACCUUUAGAAUUUGUCCGGGUAAGAUACAAACACAUUGUAAAUAUUAGCCAGCUUCAUGGACUCCUUGAACUGAGUAUUCAUCUUUCAUUUGUCACUUUUUUAAGUUAAUCAUCUGCUACUAUUCUGUGAAAAAAUAUAUAUUUGGCGUUUGUUAUUCCGACCCUUCACAGUACUAAUUAAAAGGAGGUGAGGCAUUUUAGUUGAUCAGAUUUUGGAUUAUGCAUGUUUUUCUUAAGUUUAUCAGUUUCAGUCUAACUGAAAUCUUUAACACCAGGAAACUUUAAUUUCUUUGUAAUAUCACAUAGAUUUACAGGUUAUGUCUGGAUUGACCAUUAGUAGUUUAUACUCUGUUAAAUUGUGCUAGGAUCAGUCAGAUCAAAGAUCAACUGCGAUUUUUUUUAAGUGACCACCACCUUCUAAAGCAUGCAUUACCAUCCUGUUUGAAGAGCUGUAUAUGUCACCAUAGGUUAACCACACCUCAUUGCUACACCUCAAGUAAACAGCAUGAAAAAUGUAUACAGUGUACUAGCUGUGCUACCCAUCUAUGAUAGGUUGAAAUUUAAGUGUCCAUUUGCUCUGGUAUAAUAAUACACACUUGAUCCCUUUAUUCACAGAUAGAGCCCACCCCAGUUUACCAUUUCCCCUCAGCAUUACUUGUGGAAUUAACUACUCUUAUAGUCAUAUUGUAGUGUUUUGCUGACAACAUGCAGUGGUGGUUUCUACUACAUUGGCCUAGUUUAGCAAUUCUAGCCUAUUUAUGUCAGACCUUUGGUUUCCCAAUGUGUGCUAUGAGUUAUUUUCACUCUCGAUUGCCCACCACGAAGUUAUCAAUCAUUAGAGUUACAGUUAUAAACCUCAUUUACGUGGCCCAAGUGGGUGCAAGAAAGUCACACCAAGCUAUUGUCUCAAGCUGGCUCUACAAAGAUGGCAGGCAGUGACUGCAGUUUGUUGCAAUAGCCUACACAUCCACUAAAUCUCAAUGUAGAAUCCAUGCCUCAAAGAAUCCAGGCUGUUUUGCAAGCAAAGAGGAGUCCUUUCUGGUACUACAUAGGUGGUUCCAAUAAAGUGUCCACAUUUAGUAUGCAUUUGUAUACACAUGGGAGAAAUGGUGGUGUAGUGGCAUAAGAGCUGUUUCCUCAAGGAUCUAGUGUCAAGGGUCAUUGUUCAUGUGGGGCUUGCAUGUUCUUCAUACAUCUGCAUGUCCGUUCUUUGUGCCCAUUGCAGCUCGCAUUGGUCCCUGUCACUUUGAAAUGGAUUAAGUGGGUAUGAGAAUGUUAUGUUAUGCAUGUAUCAAUGUGCCUACUAUGGAUUCUACCUAAGAAAGGAGUUUUGUGUAUUAUCAGGACUUACUAUAUACAUGAGACAAGCUCCUUUUUGAGUGAAAACAAACAAAGCUGAAAUUGUGGUAUACGAAUAUCUUUUAUAUCACAGUUAAAAAAAAUCUAGAAUGUUCCAUGUAAGAGACACAGAAGCAGGCUAUACUGUAAGUACAUUUGUUUGGACUCAUUUUGCAAAUGGUAUUUGAAUAAAAUAAUAAAAAGAGUA